rnacentral:lncRNA from 1 species
GGAUUACAGGCGUGAGCCACCGCGCCCGGCCUUUUAAAUGGCUUUAAAUCAGUAGAUGCAUAUUUUUAAACUUUAAUUUUAGAAAGUACUCUGCCUGCAACGUGAAACAUAGACUGAAGGUGGGUGAUGCGGAGAAAGACUGAAGGCUGCUGGGAGUUUAUAAAGAUCAGAAAAAAGACACUUUGCAAAUUCUGAUGAUACUACUAAAAGAUACACAAGAAUUGGUUCCUUCCGGUGGGUUCUUGGUCUCGCUAACUUCAAGAAUGAAGCUGCGGACCCUUGUGAUUCUCAGUAUCUGCUUAUGUUUUAGGUAAAAAAAAGUAUUCUAGACAUAUUGAAAAGAACAGAGGACUGGAUGCCACCUAACUGGGGUCAAAUUUACUCUGCUUCUCAAGAUCUGCAAUAUCUUAGGAAAAUCCUUCUACCUCUCUUGACACAUUCUCAACUUGUCCCAGAGAAGUUGGAGUGUUGGACAACAGAGCAACUUCUUCCUCCUCAAAAGAAAGGUGAGAGCUGGGGUUUCUCAUCAGCUCACUCUAUGCUGAGCAGUGAGUAUGACUUAUGGCAUCUACCAGUACAAAUCAUCAUCUCUACUCUCCCCUUGACAGCUAGACUGUGCCAAUCAUGUCAGAGGCCCAAACCUGACAAGAAAGAAUCCAGUCUUCAGGGGAGUCCCGAACCAAAUUCUUCCCUUCUCUGAGAGAGGCUGGAAAAUAGGAUAUCUUUUUCUGAUUGUACAGUGUUGUGCCAGGGUAGGCAUUCUGGCAGAAGUGUGUCCUGAACCUUCUUUCUGGCUUUGGUGUGGUUGCAAACUGUCUUGAACUUCAUUUCAUCUCAACAGAAGACACUGGCUAGUGAUGGGGCUCAGAAUAUGCCACCCUAAAGUAUGACUGUAAGAGGCCAGAAUAUGUCACUUGAAAUAGGCCUUUAUGGAAUAAGAAUUAUUUUGAGCUGGUUAUUUUGAGAAGCUGCAGACACAAAAGAAGCUCUGAAAAGUCACCCUUUUACAAGUAAAAUUUACAUCUAUAAAGUAAAUAUCCAUUUGUGAUGGUGUCUCUCUAAAGCAAAAAAUCACUAGAGCCUCUUAAUCAAAGGAGAAAGCAUCAACUUAAAUUUUUAAAACAUACUUCUCCCUUGUUCUAUGGUGCUUUUCUGGCAUGCUUGUCUUAACCAGAUCUUCCCCCAUACCCUUCUUUCUUUGUUUCAGAGAACUAUGGUAAUUAAGCCUGAAGUAUAAGUAAACUCUUUGAAACGUACUCUACAUAUUUACUCAUUUCUUUGGGUUAUUUCCCAUGUAUACAGGAAGUAUACAUGUAAUUCAACCAUUUGUUUUUGCCUUGUUAGUCCAUCUUAUGUUACAGGGAGUCCCAGCAAAGAACUGGGAGGAGAAAAUUAUUUUUCCUCUCCUAUACUGGGUAAUGUGAUCCUACUGAAGAUACCAGUAGGAUCUCCUUAAACCUCAAUCUGC